UCUUCUACACGCUCUACCACUCGCUGCACCACUACAAGUACCACACGUUCCUGCGCUGCAAGGACGAGACGACGGCCAUCGAGGGGCAGGACGAGGACCUGGGCCAGGAGGAGGUGGUGCAGCAGUGCAUGCGCAACCAGGCCUGGCUCGAGCGCCUCUU